rnacentral:tRNA from 1 species
UUGGGGUAUAGUGUAACGGCAGCACGAAUGACUCUGAAUCAUUUAGUCUAGGUUCGAAUCCUAGUACCCCAGU